rnacentral:rRNA from 1 species
UACGAGGGGGGCGAGCGUUGUUCGGAAUUAUUGGGCGUAAAGGGUGCGUAGGCGGUUCCGCAAGUCCUGUGUGAAAUCUUCGGGCUCAACUCGAAGUCUGCACGGGAAACUGCGGGGCUUGAGUGUGGGAGAGGUGAGUGGAAUUCCCGGUGUAGCGGUGAAAUGCGUAGAUAUCAGGAGGAACACCGGUGGUGUAAACGGCUUUCUGGACCAUAACUGACACUGAGGCACGAAAGCGUGGGUAGCAAACAGG